UUCAGGGAAUCUUGAUGCUUCUCAGGA
rnacentral:piRNA from 1 species